rnacentral:rRNA from 1 species
UACAGAGGGUGCAAGCGUUGUUCGGAAUUAUUGGGCGUAAAGGGAGUGUAGGCUGUCUUGUAAGUCUUCUGUGAAAUCUACGGGCUUAGCCUGUAACGUGCAGAGGAAACUGCGAGGCUUGAGUGUUGGAGAGGACAGUGGAAUUCCCGGUGUAGAAGUGAAAUUCGUAGAGAUCGGGAGGAACACCAGUGGCGAAGGCGACUGUCUGGCUGACAACUGACGCUGAGACUCGAAAGCAUGGGGAGCAAACAGG